rnacentral:rRNA from 1 species
GUUUGAUCCUGGCUCAGAACGAACGCUGGCGGCAGGCUUAACACAUGCAAGUCGAGCGAGACCUUCGGGUCUAGCGGCGGACGGGUUAGUAACGCGUGGGAACGUGCCCUUUACUACGGAAUAGUCCCGGGAAACUGGGUUUAAUACCGUAUACGCCCUUCGGGGGAAAGAUUUAUCGGUAAAGGAUCGGCCCGCGUUAGAUUAGAUAGUUGGUGGGGUAAUGGCCUACCAAGUCUACGAUCUAUAGCUGGUUUGAGAGGAUGAUCAGCAACACUGGGACUGAGACACGGCCCAGACUCCUACGGGAGGCAGCAGUGGGGAAUCUUAGACAAUGGGCGCAAGCCUGAUCUAGCCAUGCCGCGUGAGUGACGAAGGCCUUAGGGUCGUAAAGCUCUUUCGCCAGGGA